UACGAAGGGGGCUAGCGUUGUUCGGAUUUACUGGGCGUAAAGCGCACGUAGGCGGAUCGUUAAGUCGGGGGUGAAAUCCUGGAGCUCAACCACAGAAUUGCCUUCGAUACUGGUUGGCUUGAGACCGGAAGAGGACAGCGGAACUGCGAGUGUAGAGGUGAAAUUCGUAGAUAUUCGCAAGAACACCAGUGGCGAAGGCGGCUCACUGGCCCGAUACUGACGCUGAGGCACGAAAGCGUGGGGAGCAAACAGGG
rnacentral:rRNA from 1 species